rnacentral:tRNA from 1 species
GGGCAGGUGAUGAAAUGGCAGACAUGCAAGGUUUAGGACCUUGUGCCGCAAGGCGUGUGGGUUCGAAUCCCACCCUGCCCACAA